GAAAAAUAUGUUUGAGGCAAUGGACAAGAACAAGGCAGCGUUUGGUCUAUAAAUCUGCUUCCAUCGAGUGAUUGGCAGAGAAGAAGAGGUCGAGAAUUUAGCAGAGGAGAUGAGCAUGUCGAAGAACAAGAUCGUGGGCAAUGACGGCUCUAGCAUGGUCCAAAAUCGAUGGGUACUGGAGCGAUCUUCGAUAUGUGGUAAUACGAUGGUUGGCGACCGAGGAGGGGCGCCUGAUGUUGGGUGGUGAUAUUUUGUUAAACAAGAGUCCCAUGUCCAUUAGAGGUACUUUGUAAUCUGUCAAUAGAUUUGAUAAAUGUAAUCUUCUGUAUUUGAUAUAGAUGGGAACUCUGAAUCCCAGUAGGAC
rnacentral:lncRNA from 1 species